AGAGAGAUGGCUGAGUGGCCGAAAGCGAUAGUUUGCUAAACUACAUCACUAAUUACAGUGACACGGGUUCAAAUCCCGUUCUCUCUU
rnacentral:tRNA from 1 species